rnacentral:rRNA from 1 species
GGUUAAGCGACUAAGCGUACACGGUGGAUGCCCUGGCAGUCAGAGGCGAUGAAGGACGUGCUAAUCUGCGAAAAGCGUCGGUAAGGUGAUAUGAACCGUUAUAGCCGGCGAUGUCCGAAUGGGGAAACCCAGUGUGAUUCGUCACACUAUCGUUAACUGAAUACAUAGGUUAACGAGGCGAACCGGGGGAACUGAAACAUCUAAGUACCCCGAGGAAAAGAAAUCAACCGAGAUUCCCCCAGUAGCGGCGAGCGAACGGGGAGCAGCCCAGAGUCUGAAUCAGCUUGUGUGUUAGUGGAACGGUCUGGAAAGUCCGACGGUACAGGGUGAUAGUCCCGUACACCAAAAUGCACAGGCUGUGAACUCGAAGAGUAGGGCGGGACACGUGGUAUCCUGUCUGAAUAUGGGGGGACCAUCCUCCAAGGCUAAAUACUCCUGACUGACCGAUAGUGAACCAGUACCGUGAGGGAAAGGCGAAAAGAACCCCGGCGAGGGGAGUGAAAAAGAACCUGAAACCGUGUACGUACAAGCAGUGGGAGCACCUUCGGGUGUGACUGCGUACCUUUUGUAUAAUGGGUCAGCGACUUAUAUUCUGUAGCAAGGUUAACCGUAUAGGGGAGCCGCAGGGAAACCGAGUCUUAACUGGGCGUUAAGUUGCAGGGUAUAGACCCGAAACCCGGUGAUCUAGCCAUGGGCAGGUUGAAGGUUGGGUAACACUAACUGGAGGACCGAACCGACUAAUGUUGAAAAAUUAGCGGAUGACUUGUGGCUGGGGGUGAAAGGCCAAUCAAACCGGGAGAUAGCUGGUUCUCCCCGAAAGCUAUUUAGGUAGCGCCUCGUGAA